UGGGGAAUCAUGGUCAAUGGGCGAAACCCUGACCCAGCAACGCCGCGUGAAGGAAGAAGGCUUUCGGGUUGUAAACUUCUUUGACGAGGGACGAAAUAAAUGACGGUACCUCGAAAACAAGCCACGGCUAACUACGUGCCAGCAGCCGCGGUAAUACGUAGGUGGCGAGCGUUGUCCGGAUUUACUGGGUGUAAAGGGCGUGUAAGCGGGACUGUAAGUCAGAUGUGGAAUUCCGGGGCUCAACCCCGGCGCUGCAUCUGAAACUAUAGUUCUUGAGUGCUGGAGAGGAAAGCGGAAUUCCUAGUGUAGCGGUGAAAUGCGUAGAUAUUAGGAGGAACACCAGUGGCGAAGGCGGCUUUCUGGACAGUAACUGACGCUGAGGCGCGAAAGCGUGGGGAGCAAACA
rnacentral:rRNA from 1 species